rnacentral:lncRNA from 1 species
CGCAGGGAUAGCUGGUGUGCGUGCAGCGGAAGGCGCUAACUGCCCUGGAUGUGGAGACCCGCGGACUGGACGUGAGAGGCGGGCAGGGGCAGUUGGGGCAGCUGCCCCUACAACACUGAAGAAUUGGAAUAGGAAAGAGUGUGGGGGUAGGGGACGGGGACUCUUUGUCUGCAGUUGGAAUGCGCGGAGGGGCAUGGUGGAAUGUGUCGCGUCCCGGGACCGGACGACAGGAGGCAUGUUCUGCGCUAGCACCGUGACUUUGUUCCCAGCGUGGGGACUGUGGGAGAGAUGGAGAGAGACUGGUACAGAAAUGGUGAGACAAGGAGAGAGCCAUAAAGAGGAAGACAGAGAGAAAGAAGACAAAUGCAUAAAGAGGUUCAGAGACGUGUACGUAAAGAUAGCCCUGAAAGGCGACGAAGCCCACAGAGAGAGGUGGAAGAGGGAAGAGGUAGCGAAAGAAAGGGAGAGCUGAGGAGCAAAGAGGAGUGUGGACGAUGCAGAGACCGAAGGGUGCGCAGACAAAGGAAAGGACAAGCUUGUCCAGAGAGAAUGAGAGACAAACAGAUAAACUGCAAUAAAAAGGCACCACCUUCUGGACCCAAAAGUUUUGUGAUUUGUAAAAGCAGUGAAAAGGAGUCAGGAAAAUGGGACUAAUCUCUACUUUGAGAGGGAGGGAAAGAGAUAUAGUGUGUAUGUAGAAGCAGUGAAAAGGAGUGAGGAAAAGGUUUGGGACUAAUCUCUACCUUAAGGGUAGGACAGUUAGAGGGAUAGACACCCCCUGGUGUUGGGAAAUGAGAUUUUUCUCAUUUCAGGUGACUGUGGAGAUCGAAGGCCUGGUUUUAGGGCUAGCGAACACCUUCUCCCUUUGGUUUUGGUCCACAGAAGACUGGUGAUACAGACUCCUUAUCAGUGUAAUUGUGGGGACUGGUCACCAGCUCUUGCUUGAGCUUUUCCAGAAGAAACUUCACUACUGAAAUAUUCCAAGAGGACUUGAUGCUGCCACAAAGAGAAGAGAAUGAAUAAAGUUGUCGGCUUUGUAAGAGCCAGACAAACAGAGAUACCCAGCACUAAUCAACUUUGUGGCAAAUCCCUCCACAGCCUAAGAAGGCAUCCUCGCCAGGAGAGGCAGAGUCCAUGGAGCAGCCGAGACAGCUGUGGAAGAGAAGGUGCCAUGCGGAGCUACUGAGAGAGAGGGAAGGGCACCCCAUCACUACACACAGCAAAAAAUGACCUUCUGCCAAAGAAGCUGAUGGUUCAGGAAGAAAAUAGAGCUGACUAUCCCUGAAGGAAAAGGAAACGUGGUACUGUUUUGCUUUAUCACAAAUACAAACAAAAGGUUUAAAGAUGGAAAGAAAAGAACAGAAAGGAAAAAGAGUGAAAAGCCAGGAAAAGCACCUAGGAGGAAUAGCCCUCUGCUGCCAU